rnacentral:rRNA from 1 species
AACGAACGCUGGCGGCAGGCUUAACACAUGCAAGUCGAACGCAUCCUUCGGGGUGAGUGGCAGACGGGUGAGUAACGCGUGGGAACGUGCCCUUCAGUUCGGGAUAACCCAGGGAAACUUGGGCUAAUACCGGAUACGUGCGAGAGCAGAAAGAUUUAUCGCUGAAGGAUCGGCCCGCGUCUGAUUAGCUAGUUGGUGGGGUAAUGGCCCACCAAGGCGACGAACAGUGGCUGGUCUGAGAGGAUGAUCAGCCACAUUGGGACUGAGACACGGCCCAAACUCCUACGGGAGGCAGCAGUGGGGAAUAUUGGACAAUGGGCGCAAGCCUGAUCCAGCCAUGCCGCGUGAGUGAUGAAGGCCUUAGGGUUGUAAAGCUCUUUCGUCCGGGACGAUAAUGACGGUACCGGAAGAAGAAGCCCCGGCUAACUUCGUGCCAGCCGCCGCGGUAA